GUCUCGAAGGUGCCACAAGUCCACAAGUACUCCUUUUCUUUUUGCGAAUACAGACUAACACGGCCGUUACUCUGAAACCUAUCUAAAUAAUGUUGCCUUUCAGUAACUUACCUGCUUUUUCAGACUAACCAGAUUUAGUCAAGGUCUGUAUC